rnacentral:siRNA from 1 species
ACGGGUCAAUUAUACGCGUGGUAC